UUGGAGGGCAAGUCUGGUGCCAGCAGCCGCGGUAAUUCCAGCUCCAAGAAGUAUAUAUUUAAGUUGUUGCGGUUAAAAAGCUCGUAGUUGGAUUUUGGGCGCAGGCGGCCGGUCCGUCGCAAGGCGUGUACUGGACGUCCUGGCCUUCCCUCCGGUUCUCCGCCGGUGCUCUUGACUGAGUGUCGGCGGCGGCCGGAACGUUUACUUUGAAAAAAUUAGAGUGUUCAAAGCAGGCUCUCGAGCCUGGAUAAUGGUGCAUGGAAUAAUGGAAUAGGACCUCGGUUCUAUUUUGUUGGUUUUCGGAGCGCGAGGUAAUGAUUAAGAGGGACAGACGGGGGCAUUCGUACUGUGCCGUUAGAGGUGAAAUUCUUGGAUCGGCGCAAGACGAACGACUGCGAAAGCAUUUGCCAAGAAUGUUUUCUUUAAUCAAGAGCGAAAGUCAGAGGUUCGAAGACGAUCAGAUACCGUCCUAGUUCUGACUAUAAACGAUGCCAACUAGCGAUCGGGGGGCGUUACAUUGACGACCCCUCCGGCAGCUUACGGGAAACCAAAGUCUUUGGGUUCCGGGGGAAGUAUGGUUGCAAAGCUGAAACUUAAAGGAAUUGACGGAAGGGCACCACCAGGAGUGGAGCCUGCGGCUUAAUUUGACUCAACACGGGAAAUCUCACCCGGCCCGGACACAGUGAGGAUUGACAGAUUGAGAGCUCUUUCUUGAUUGU
rnacentral:ncRNA from 1 species